AAGGGAGAGGAAUAAAUGGGAACCUACCUUGGGGUCUGGGAUAGCGGCGGGAAACUGCCGGUAAUACCAGAUGAUGUCUCCGGACCAAAGGUUUACCACCCUGAGACGGGCCCAUUUCCUAUCAGCUAGUUGGUGAGGUAAUGGCUCACCAAGGCUAAGACGGGUACGGGGUGUGAGAGCAUGCCCCCGCUCACUGGGACUGAGACACUGCCCAGACACCUACGGGUGGCUGCAGUCGAGAAUCUUCGGCAAUGGGCGAAAGCCUGACCGAGCGAUGCCGCGUGUGGGAUGAAGGCCUUCGGGUUGUAAACCACUGUCGAGGGGAAUUAAGGGAAACUUGAAUAAACCCUGGAGGAAGGACGGGCUAAGUUCGUGCCAGCAGCCGCGGUAAGACGAACCGUCCAAACGUUAUUCGGAAUCACUGGGCUUACAGAGUUCGUAGGCGGUCUAGCAAGUUGGGUGUGAAAUCCCUCGGCUCAACCGAGGAACUGCGCUCGAUACUGCUAGACUCGAGGGAGAUAGAGGAAAGCGGAACUGAUGGUGGAGCGGUGAAAUGCGUUGA
rnacentral:rRNA from 1 species